GGGAAGGUGGCUCAGUGGUAGAGCACUUGCCUUGCAUGCAGAGGCCCUGGGUUCAAUUCCUCAGCACCCCA
rfam:Dipodomys ordii contig_8428, whole genome shotgun sequence.